GCUUCAGCAACACACAUUUAUUCUCCUAUAGCCCUGGAGGACCCUGUGAUGACCUGGCGCCCACCCAGCUAAUCCAGGGAGGAGAAGAGAAUACUGAGCGUCUUUUCGUUUCUGCUCUGCCAGUAGUUUACAGCCAGAGGCAAAGCAAACCAAGAACACAGAGCCAUCUACAGGGAAAAAUCCUGGGUAACUACUUCUUCUCAGAAAAGCCCAUCACCAUCUCCACGCUCAAGAGAAUAGUGCUGGACCCCUACCUCACACCAUGUACCAAAACUAACUCAGAACAGACCAACAACCCUAAUGUAACAGCAAAAAAUAUAGAACUCUCAGACAAAAACCCAGGGGAAAAGCUUGACAACAUUGCUUUUGGCAGUGAUUUCUAGGAUAUGACACCAAAAG
rnacentral:lncRNA from 10 species